rnacentral:tRNA from 1 species
GCCCGAGUGGUGAAAUAGGUAGACGCAGCGGACUCAAAAUCCGCCGGUAGCGAUACCAUGCCGGUUCGAGUCCGGCCUCGGGCACCA